AUUAGUGAUGGAGUGCAGUAAAAGCGUGAAAAAUCCCGACAAAUGGAAGCGAUUUAUAUUUCCCGUCUCUUGAAAAAAAAAAGAAAAAAAAGGAGGAAGUGGCAAAACGGUCCACAACAAACUCCUCCUGGGCCCACACCAGUUCACUAGCCCAAUCAGCAGUGCCCACGUCACUUUGACCCUUCUGUAAAGCGAGAACCCUCCCAUCGAAUCUCACUGUCCUCACACACAAAAGCACACAACACACACACACACACACCGAGUGAGAGAGAGAGCAAUCCCUUGUUUCCCCAAACACGCCCCCUGCUCCGCCGCAUGGCCUGUCGGCCGGAAUGUUUAGCUCGAUCACUUUGAUAGGCUGUUCUGCUGCGGAGUUCGAAUUAGCCCGCGUUCUCCACGCUUGCUGAUUUCGUGUGUGUGUGUGUGUGUUGUUUGAGUAGGGUUUGUGGUGGAAAAAAAAAUUGAGCUUGGAGUUGGGGGGAGAUUUGGGGAAACAAAAUGUACGUGGUUCCUCCUCCGAAUCGGGCCGAUCCGUUAGCUGGAUCCACUAAUGGCUCCGACGAGCUCAUGGUUUAUCAGACUUGGAAAGGCAGUAAUGUGGGUUUCUCUCUCUCUCUCUUGCUCAGCUCGAUUGAAGUUUUUUAGGUUAAUAUCUUCGUUCGUUAUUAAUAAAUUUCGCGAAAUUGAUAUUAGGUUCAGUCAAUUUGAGCAAUUGGUGCUUGAGCUUUGCUGAUUGUAGUUUUUUAAGAGAGAAAAGAACAUUUCGGGUUAAGGCUAAGUGUUUGUUUGUACUUGGUGCGAAAGAGAUGAAUGAAGAAAACAUGUAGUCAAAGUGCCAAUGUUUCUUGUGAAGAUGUCAAAAACUAGAGAACUUUUAUGGAGAAUUUGAUAAAUCUGAAAUUUGAUUCUGUACUUGACUCGUUCGAUAGAUGAUACUGGUAUUUACUAGUUCUGACACCUUUUUAUGGACAAAUUAUAUAUACAAGUUUUGAUUAUCUUAUUUCAUGGAAAAUUAUUACUCCAUAGAACACUUACUAUCACUGUUUAAAAUGAUUAAAUCAUGAAAAUGUGAGAUGAGGAUUCUGUUUGACCCCCGGUAUGCCAUUUAGAUAUUUAGUUUUGGCUACAAAAGAUACUUUUUAUUGACUUUUUACUGCUGCCUGCUGUGUACGAAUGAGAAUCAUGAUGCGCUAAACACCAGCAGACAUAUGGUUGUUAUGUACAUUGCGUGAGUCGUCACUUGUUCAUUUUGUGACUGUUAGAUCACUGUUCUUCUUGCAGUAAAUUUUUUCUCCAAGGUAAGGUUUGUUUUGGUACCAGUAUGUAAGGUCGCUGGCUCUAACUAUAUUCCUGAUUGUGGCUCCUGUAGCUGUUUUCUGCAUCUUUGUUGCUCGAAAACUGAUGGAUGAUUUUGUUGAUGACUGGGAGUAUCAAUUAUGGUUAUUGCCAUCGUGUUCACAUUUUAUGUACGUUAGUUCUCUCACCUCUCCCUGUAGCAAACCUUGUUUAGCCAAGAGUUGGUGUCUAUAUUGUGCUAAUAAUUUUUCUGGAAAUUGAACUACAGAGGAUUGAAAUUUGUCGCUAAAUAAACUCUUUGGUAAUCCACUUGCUUAACUUUAAUCUGUUGGAUUUGUACUUGUUCUUGCUUAAUGGAACAUAAAACCUUUGAAUUCAAGGCAGUGUGCCUAAGAGACAGUGAUUUUGCAAAUAAUUCGAUGCAGGUUUUCUCAUUUCCUGUAUAUGGCUAUAUAGAUGUAGGUAAAGGUUUGUAAAAGCAUUUAUAGCACAAGGUACACGUUAGAGUCCUGUUUGAGGCAAGAAUGCACAUUGACUAUCUGCUCAGUUGAUUUUGUAAUCUAAUUCUUUGCUAAACUUGCAGGAUUUGAUUCUUCUAUUGCUAACAUCUGGAAGAGAUCCUGGCAUCAUUCCUCGAAAUGCACAUCCACCUGAACCGGAAGGCUAUGAUGGGAGUGUAGAAGGAGCUCAAACACCACAGUUACGCUUGCCCCGCAUUAAGGAAGUUGAGGUGAGGCAUACGAGACUUGAUAAGUCAGUGAGUAUGGCCUAUUUCCUCCGUCAUAAGUUCCUUCUUGUUGUAGUCCUGAUAGAGAGUCAGGGCUCGACUGAAGGAUGAAUCCUGCAGAUUAUAAGCGAUUUGUGGGUAGAACUCAGUUAUAAUCUUUUGGCAUAGAGAUUGACCGNAGCUUACUCGUGUAAGCGUUGCGAGCGAAGCUUACACGAGGGCUACACGUUCUAUCGUGUAGCCCAUUUCUUUGAUAGUGUAAGGCGCGUGUGAUGCACGCGCCAAUUUAAAAAAAAAUCGAAUUGACCGUUGCUGCCUCGAUUUGCGUGAAUUGACCGUUCAUUUUUUUUUCUCUUCUUUUUCUUCUAUUUAUUCUUCUUCUUCCCCAUUUUUUCCCUACACCUUCUUCAUCCUCACUUCUUCUUUUCUUCCUCUCUCUACACACUCCAUGGAUCCACACAAUCCAAAUUACUAUGACCUAAAUUGGUGCCCCGAUCUAUCCGACGAAUAUCAUCCCGAUUUAUCGGGGUGUAACUUGGGGGAUGCUCCACAGUCCGGCAUUGGAGCGGUCCGACCAGAACUUGAAAAAAAUCACCGCCGAGUAUGCCAAAAAGAACGAGCUCAAGGAGAGGGAGCUCGAUAUGCAACUCCUCAGUCUGGAUACGACGCAUAUGAGCGAUGCACAAAGGAUGGCCCACGAGCACAUGGUCCAAGAAAUGCUCAAGCGUCGUGGACUUAUCUAGACUAUGAUUUUAAUUUAUGUAAUUUAAAUUAUGUUUUUAAUUUUUUAAAUUUUAAGUUUUUUAUUUUAAUGAUCCACUAGCUAACGGAUCCAGCUGAGGAGAACAUCGUGGAGAGUAUUAAAUUCUGCUCAUGGAAAUGGUUGAAGGCGCACUACCCAUCUUCCUUUUAUGCCUCUCUGCAUGAGUGGAGUUCACAUCCUAUUCUUUGUAUGCCGACUAAUCGUUAGUCUCCUCUUUCUUUUGCUCUCAGUUUUGCUGUUUUCAAUUUUAUGGAGAUGUCUUUUUGAGUACUUCUGGUACUCUUCCGUUGGAAUGAGAAUUUCUUUUACUUUUCAAAAAAAAAAAGAAGAAAAUUAUUGACAAGAAAUAGUAACCUAAAAAAUUGAAGCAAACUCCAUUAGUGAUGGAGUGCAGUAAAAGCGUGAAAAAUCCCGACAAAUGGAAGCGAUUUAUAUUUCCCGUCUCUUGAAAAAAAAAAAGAAAAAAAGGAGGAAGUGGCAAAACGGUCCACAACCAACUCCUCCUGGGCCCACACCAGUUCACUAGCCCAAUCAGCAGUGCCCACGUCACUUUGACCCUUCUGUAAAGCGAGAACCCUCCCACUCGAAUACUCACCUGUCCUCACACACAAAAGCACACAACACACACACACACACCGAGUGAGAGAGAGAGCAAUCCCUUGUUUCCCCAAACACGCCCCCUGCUCCGCCGCAUGGCCUGUCGGCCGGAAUGUUUAGCUCGAUCACUUUGAUAGGCUGUUCUGCUGCGGAGUUCGAAUUAGCCCGCGUUCUCCACGCUUGCUGAUUUCGUGUGUGUGUGUGUGUGUUUGUUUGAGUAGGGUUUGUGGUGGAAAAAAAAAAUUGAGCUUGGAGUUGGGGGGAGAUUUGGGGAAAC
rnacentral:lncRNA from 1 species